GACGAACGCUGGCGGCGUGCUUAACACAUGCAAGUCGAACGGAAAGGCCCUGCUUGCAGGGUACUCGAGUGGCGAACGGGUGAGUAACACGUGGGUGAUCUGCCCUGCACUUCGGGAUAAGCCUGGGAAACUGGGUCUAAUACCGGAUAGGAGCCAUUUUUAGUGUGAUGGUUGGAAAGUUUUUUCGGUGUAGGAUGAGCUCGCGGCCUAUCAGCUUGUUGGUGGGGUAAUGGCCUACCAAGGCGGCGACGGGUAGCCGACCUGAGAGGGUGGACGGCCACAUUGGGACUGAGAUACGGCCCAGACUCCUACGGGAGGCAGCAGUGGGGAAUAUUGCACAAUGGGCGCAAGCCUGAUGCAGCGACGCCGCGUGGGGGAUGACGGCCUUCGGGUUGUAAACUCCUUUCGCUAGGGACGAAGCUUUUUGUGACGGUACCUAGAUAAGAAGCACCGGCUAACUACGUG
rnacentral:rRNA from 1 species